AGAGACUGCGAGCGUUAUUCGGAUUCACUGGGCGUAAAGGGUGCGCAGGCGGCCAAGUGUGUGAGGCGUGAAAGCCCGGGGCUUAACCCCGGAAUUGCACCUCAAACUACAUGGCUAGAGCAUUGGAGAGGGUAGCAGAAUUCAUGGUGUAGCAGUGAAAUGCGUAGAUAUCAUGAGGAAUACCAGAGGCGAAGGCGGCUACCUGGACAAUUGCUGACGCUCAGGCACGAAAGCGUGGGGAGCAAAAGGGAUUAGAUACCCCUGUAGUCCACGCCCUAAACGGUGCACACUAGGUCUUGGCGGAUUCGACCCCACCAGGGCCCCAGCUAACGCGUUAAGUGUGCCGCCUGAGGACUACGGCCGCAAGGCUAAA
rnacentral:rRNA from 1 species